GUUCAGGCCAUUAUUCAAGGAGUUGUGGGAAUUCAACCUGGCUACAAAACAGUGGAGAAAAAUCUUAAUACAGGGAGAUAUUCCGGACCAACUAGCUAGUCAUACUGCAGAAAUUCAUCCCGUCCACAGAGGUUUUAUGAUUGUGUAUGGAGGAACUGGUUCACCUUUUGGUACAACAACUAGUGAUAAAUAUUC